rnacentral:rRNA from 1 species
CCUACGGAGGCAGCAGUAGGGAAUCUUCCACAAUGGGCGAAAGCCUGAUGGAGCAACGCCGCGUGGGUGAAGAAGGUCUUCGGAUCGUAAAACCCUGUUGUUAGAGAAGAAAGUGCGUGAGAGUAACUGUUCACGUUUCGACGGUAUCUAACCAGAAAGCCACGGCUAACUACGUGCAAGCAGCCGCGGUAAUACGUAGGUGGCAAGCGUUAUCCGGAUUUAUUGGGCGUAAAGGGAACGCAGGCGGUCUUUUAAGUCUGAUGUGAAAGCCUUCGGCUUAACCGGAGUAGUGCAUUGGAAACUGGGAGACUUGAGUGCAGAAGAGGAGAGUGGAACUCCAUGUGUAGCGGUGAAAUGCGUAGAUAUAUGGAAGAACACCAGUGGCGAAAGCGGCUCUCUGGUCUGUAACUGACGCUGAGGCACGAAGGCCAGGGGAGCGAAAGGGAUUAGAUACCCCAGUAGUC